rnacentral:rRNA from 1 species
UACGUAGGGUGCAAGCGUUGUCCGGAAUUAUUGGGCGUAAAGAGCUCGUAGGCGGCUUGUCGCGUCGUCCGUGAAAACCUGCAGCUCAACUGCAGGCUUGCGGUCGAUACGGGCAGGCUAGAGUUCGGUAGGGGAGACUGGAAUUCCUGGUGUAGCGGUGAAAUGCGCAGAUAUCAGGAGGAACACCGGUGGCGAAGGCGGGUCUCUGGGCCGAUACCGACGCUGAGGAGCGAAAGCGUGGGGAGCGAACAGG